rnacentral:sRNA from 1 species
AGAUGCCAGGGUCAAAAGGUCAUAAACCACGUUGUGCUUGCACAUAAGUGGUUUUAUGCCUUUAUGACCCGCCCCAAAUUCGGAUAUCGUGGGGCAGAAUUGUGGGAGUGCGUAGCACGAAACAAUUCGUUAGGCAUCU